rnacentral:misc_RNA from 1 species
UUGAAUAUACUUGAUGGGUUGUCGCUGGCCUCUUGAGGCAUGUGCACGCUUGUCUUGAUUCUAUUCGUCCUCCUGUGCACUUAUUGUAGUCUUCUAUCCAUGGGACAAAAAGCAGGGCCUCUCUGGGCUGUGGAAUUGUGCCUCGGAAAAGGGGACUAUGUCUUUAUCAUAAACGAAUGUAGUAUGUUGUUAGAAUGUGUUCAAUGGGCAUUCAUGCCUAUAAUAACCUUAUA